CAUAGAGUGGCGCACGGGUGAGUAACAGGUGGAUAAUCUACCUUCCGGUGGGGGACAACGGCUGGAAACGGCCGCUAAUACCGCAUACGGUUACGAGGUCCUAGGAUCUUGUAAAGAAAGGGGCUGCAAGGCCUCGCCGGGAGAUGAGUCCGCCCCCCAUUAGCUAGUUGGCGGGAUAAUAGCCCACCAAGGCGACGAUGGGUAGCCGAGCUGAGAGGUUGAUCGGCCACACUGGAACUGAGACACGGUCCAGACACCUACGGGUGGCAGCAGUAGGGAAUCUUGCACAAUGGGCGAAAGCCUGAUGCAGUCAUGCCGCGUGGAUGAUGAAGGCCUUCGGGUCGUAAAAUCCUUUUCUGAGGGAAGAAUGGCCAGGCGAGGAAAUGCGCUUGGUGUGACGGUACCUCAGGAAUAAGCAACGGCAAACUUCGUGCCAGCAGCCGCGGUAAUACGGGGGUUGCGAGCGUUGUUCGGAAUAACUGGGCGUAAAGCGAGCGCAGGCGGCUCGAUCAGUCUGAAGUGAAAUCCCAGGGCUCAACCUUGGGUCUGCUUUGGAUACUGUCGAGCUCGAGUACGUGAGAGGAGAGUGGAAUUCCAGGUGUAGCGGUGAAAUGCGUAGAUAUCUGGAGGAACACCGGUGGCGAAAGCGGCUCUCUGGCACAGUACUGACGCUGAGGCUCGAAAGCGUGGGGAGCAAACGGGAUUAGAUACCCCGGUAGUCCACGCCGUAAACGUUGUGUGCUAGGUGUA
rnacentral:rRNA from 1 species